CCUACGGGGUGCACCAGUGGGGAAUAUUGCACAAUGGGCGCAAGCCUGAUGCAGCCAUGCCGCGUGUAUGAAGAAGGCCUUCGGGUUGUAAAGUACUUUCAGCGGGGAGGAAGGUGUUGAGGUUAAUAACCUCAGCAAUUGACGUUAUCCGCAGAAGAAGCACCGGCUAACUCCGUGCCAGCAGCCGCGGUAAUACGGAGGGUGCAAGCGUUAAUCGGAAUUACUGGGCGUAAAGCGCACGCAGGCGGUCUGUCAAGUCGGAUGUGAAAUCCCCGGGCUCAACCUGGGAACUGCAUUCGAAACUGGCAGGCUAGAGUCUUGUAGUGGGGGGUAGAAUUCCAGGUGUGGCGGUGAAAUGCGUAGAGAUCUGGAGGAAUACCGGUGGCGAAGGCGGCCCCCUGGACCAAGACUGACGCUCAGGUGCGAAAGCGUGGGGAGCAAACAGGAUUAGAUACCCUUGUAGUC
rnacentral:rRNA from 1 species